ACCCCCUCGCUACCCCACUAGGCCGGAUUCUGACGAACCUUACUCAAUUGUAGCUGACUGCAGAGCCCUGAAGUUUAGAUUGCUCUUAGCAGCGGUAUCUGGAGCGUCCCAUUUAGUCACAAAAGGAAAAAAAAAUCAUGGAGCUGUAUUAUAUAUUCAGCAUUUGGCUAUUUAUUCACCUAGGUGCUGCUCUGGGGGACUCGGUCCAGUCCAGGGAACCCCACCUCUCUGGAAAAGAAGGAGACGUUGUGACCCUCACUUUUUCUUAUGAUACCAGCUCUACCGGCUACGUCUAUCUCUUCUGGUACCGUCAGUUUCCUAGCCAAGCCCCGCGGUACAUUCUCUGGAGAGGAGCGAAGCAGGCCAGAGGUGAGAGUGAUACCGCAGAAUUUGCCCAGAAGAGGUUUUCUUCCCAGGCUAAUGACAGCUCCACAGCUCUGAACAUCACAGCCCUGGAGCUGGGGGACAGCGCGGUGUAUUACUGCGCUCUGCAGAGAGCACAGUGACAGAGCCACACAGGAGAC